rnacentral:rRNA from 1 species
AGUCACUGACAUUAGAUACCCCUGUAGUCCAGGGUGUAAACGCUGCAGACUUGGUGUUGGAAGUCCUUUGGGGGCAUUCAGUGCCGGAGAGAAGUUGUUAAGUCUGCUACUUGGGGAGUACGUCCGCAAGGAUGAAACUUAAAGGAAUUGGCGGGGGAGCACCGCAACGGGAGGAGCGUGCGGUUUAAUUGGAUUCAACGCCGAAAAACUCACCAGCAGCGACUGUUACAUGAAAGUCAGGUUGAUGACCUUACUAGAUUUUCAG